rnacentral:ribozyme from 13 species
UCGAGUGAGUUAGACGAAAAAUAAGUGAAUGAAUAAACAAGAUACUUUUCUUCUCUUCUCUUCUCUCUACUCUCUUUUCUUUUUCUUUUU